rnacentral:sRNA from 1 species
AUUUAUAUAUAUAUAUAUAUAUAUAUGAUUUCACCCGUGGUAUACUGUCUCGUAUUAUUAUCGAUCCAAAGCCGUCAUAUCAUCUAAUGUCGUUCUGUGAAAUUAAACAUGUCUAAUAGAUUCACCCAUGCUAUACUGUCUCGUAUUACCUAUCGACCCAAACUCGUCAUACCAUCUAACCCGGUUCAGCGAAAUUAAAAAUUAUUUUGUUAUUUUUGUUUUAAUAAUACUUUAAUUUAAAAGAUAUAUAAUUCAAAU